UUUGAGACCUCCUUUAAGACUGCAUGUUCAGCUCUUGAUACUGCUCCAGCGACAUACGCUGAAUCUGUUACCAGAUUAAAAGGUACCUGCUGUUCAAAAGGUCUUCUUACCACCUGGUUUCACAGUGGCAGAUGUGCGACAGAAGUUCUGCAUCUGCUAUGAAGAACUGCCAGUCCUGGGAACGAAAAUGGACAGGAUGACAGUGGAAGCACCGGCAUUUGGAUGGAAACUGCCUUGGUGCUGAGCCCUUUGGAGGUACAGCAGCCGAGGCAACCAGUUUAUCUUUGUGCUUCUUUGGGGCCUCCUCCAUCAUCAGAUCCACACCAACCUGUGCUGAGCCACGUGGAUGACGGUAUUCAAAGGAUUGCAACAUUUAAUAGAGCCACAAGCAAUAUGGAGAUCAGUGCAAGCCUUACAACUCACAUGAGGCAAUUAGCUUCACUAAACAGUAAAUAAACAAAUAGUGUAAUCUUUAUUUGCAGAAA